UACGGAGGUGGCAAGCGUUGCUCGGAAUCACUGGGCGUAAAGGGCGCGUAGGCGGGGAGGUAAGUCGGGUGUGAAAUCCCUUGGCCCAACUGAGGAACUGCGCCCGAGACUGCUUCUCUUGAGUCCCGGAGAGGAAGGUGGAAUUCCCGGUGUAGCGGUGAAAUGUGUAGAGAUCGGGAGGAACACCGGUGGCGAAGGCGGCCUUCUGGACGGUGACUGACGCUGAGGCGCGAAAGCGUGGGGAGCAAACGGG
rnacentral:rRNA from 1 species